UACGAACCGUCCAAACGUUACUCGGAAUUACUGGGCUUAAAGGGUGCGUAGGCCGCGCGGAGGGUGGGAUGUGAAAUCCCCCGACUCAACCGGGGAAUAGCGUCCCAAACCGCCGUGCUCGAGGGAGACAGAGGUGAGCGGAACUGAUGGUGGAGCGGUGAAAUGCGUUGAUAUCAUCAGGAACACCAGUGGCGAAAGCGGCUCACUGGGUCUUUCCUAACGCUGAGGCACGAAAGCUAGGGGAGCGAACGGG
rnacentral:rRNA from 1 species